AUUGAACGCUGGCGGCAGGCCUAACACAUGCAAGUCGAGCGGCAGCGGGAAAGUAGCUUGCUACUUUUGCCGGCGAGCGGCGGACGGGUGAGUAAUGCCUGGGGAUCUGCCCAGUCGAGGGGGAUAACUACUGGAAACGGUAGCUAAUACCGCAUACGCCCUACGGGGGAAAGCAGGGGACCUUCGGGCCUUGCGCGAUUGGAUGAACCCAGGUGGGAUUAGCUAGUUGGUGGGGUAAUGGCUCACCAAGGCGACGAUCCCUCGCUGGUCUGAGAGGAUGAUCAGCCACACUGGAACGGAGACACGGUCCAGACUCCUACGGGAGGCAGCAGUGGGGAAUAUUGCACAAUGGGGGAAACCCUGAUGAAGCCAUGCCGCGUGUGUGAAGAAGGCCUUCGGGUUGUAAAGCACUUUCAGCGAGGAGGAAAGGUUGGUAGCUAAUAACUGCCAGCUGUGACGUUACUCGCAGAAGAAGCACCGGCUAACUCCGUGCCAGCAGCCGCGGUAAUAC
rnacentral:rRNA from 1 species